rnacentral:miRNA from 1 species
UGAGCCUCUGUGGCAGCCCUC